rnacentral:rRNA from 1 species
AUUGAACGCUGGCGGCAGGCUUAACACAUGCAAGUCGAGCGGAAACGAUGAUAGCUUGCUAUCAGGCGUCGAGCGGCGGACGGGUGAGUAAUACUUAGGAAUCUACCUAGUAGUGGGGGAUAGCACGGGGAAACUCGUAUUAAUACCGCAUACGACCUACGGGAGAAAGGGGGCAGUUUACUGCUCUCGCUAUUAGAUGAG